UACGUAGGGUGCAAGCGUUAAUCGGAAUUACUGGGCGUAAAGCGUGCGCAGGCGGCCGAGCAAGUCGAGUGUGAAAGCCCCGAGCUUAACUUGGGAACUGCGCUCGAAACUACUUGGCUAGAGUGUGGCAGAGGGAGGUGGAAUUCCACGUGUAGCGGUGAAAUGCGUAGAGAUGUGGAGGAACACCGAUGGCGAAGGCAGCCUCCUGGGCCAACACUGACGCUCAUGCACGAAAGCGUGAGGAGCAAACAGG
rnacentral:rRNA from 1 species